GAUGAAGAACGUAGCGAAAUGCGAUAAGUAAUGUGAAUUGCAGAAUUCAGUGAAUCAUCGAAUCUUUGUACGCACAUUGCGCCCGUCAGUAUUCUGGCGGGCAUGCCUGUUCGAGCGUCAUUACGCCCCUCAAGUCCCCUGUGGACUUGGUGUUGGGGAUCGGCGAGGCUGGUUUUCCAGCACAGCCGUCCCUUAAAUUAAUUGGCGGUCUCGCCGUGGCCCUCCUCUGCGCAGUAGUAAAACACUCGCAACAGGAGCCCGGCGCGGUCCACUGCCGUAAAACCCCCCAACUUUUUAUAGUUGACCUCGAAUCAGGUAGGACUACCCGCUGAACUUAAGCAUAUCAAUAAGCGGAGGA
rnacentral:misc_RNA from 1 species